AAUUUGGAGGAUAUUCCUUAGAUUUUGCUCAUAAUAUGUUAUGCUCAUACGAGUAUUCAGUUAUGUAAUAAGGUCUGUCAAAUGCAUAAGAGAGUUUAUGGAAUAUAUGAAUAGAAUUUUUAAUUCUUAAUUAGAUCAGUUUGUCAUGGUGUUUAUAUCAGAUGAAGAGUAUGCAGAACAUUUGAGAGUCAUGUUGCAGACCUUA
rnacentral:lncRNA from 1 species